rnacentral:misc_RNA from 1 species
GAUGAAGAACGUAGCGAAACGCGAUAUGUAAUGUGAAUUGCAGAAUUCAGUGAAUCAUCGAAUCUUUGAACGCACAUGGCGCCUUCCAGUAUCCUGGGAGGCAUGCCUGUCCGAGCGUCGUUUCAACCCUCGAGCCCCCGUGGCCCGGCGUUGGGGAUCUGCCACGGCAGGCCCCUAAAACCAGUGGCGGACCCGAAGGCCCUCUCCUUUGCGCAGUAGCAUCAGCCUCGCAUUGGGAUCCCUCGGCGACCUGCCUCUAAACCCCCCACAAGUCCGCUCCGGCGGCACCAAGGUUGACCUCGGAUCAGGUAGGAAUACCCGCUGAACUUAAGCAUAUCAAUAAGCGGAGGA